UGUGUUGUGCUAUUCUAUUGGUUAAAAAAUAUCCAAUAAAAAAGAAUAUUACAAACCCAAUUCGGGGAAGAAAGUUACUGCAAGGACUUCAUCAUCCGGCAUAUUUCGAUCUGCGGAGAUUAUCCCUCAAAUAACCUGUGUUCACUUGUCGCAUGACCUUGACAGUAACGUACACAACGUAUACUUUAAAGUCUGGAAAUUGAAACCUUUCACAUUUGUCUGUUGGAAACAGUACAGUCACCACUGCCCCGGGGAGUGGUUUUUGAUCAGCCACACUGCGCCUGUGGUGAUUCGAUUGAAAAUCGCCACGCUGGCUCGUGAGCAUAUGUGCAGUUUUUGUCACACCAAAAGACACUUGCAUUUCAUAAAGACGUGAAAAUGUAUCGUGCAAAAACGUUUCUCUCGGGUCUUUCCAAGCCACAGACCCUUGGAAUUUUACUUCAAAGGACUUGUGCCAGUACACAUACCAUCCCAGAAAGGACUCAAACGACACACUCGUUUCUAAAUGGCAGCUCAUCUGUGUACACCGAACACAUGUAUGAAGCAUGGCUCCAAGAUCCCUCAAGUGUACACAAGUCUUGGGAUGCUUAAUCAUCGACAUGG